GGCCAGUUCGUCUAGGGGCUAGGACGCAUGGUUUUCAUCCAUGAAACAGGGGUUCGAUUCCCCUACAGGCUA
rnacentral:tRNA from 1 species